GAACAUCUUGUCGCCUCCCGACUUGGAGCCUGCGCUCCCAGAAUGCGAGGAAAGGACGCAGGGUUCCUCGCCGUCCUCCACGUCGGCCAUGGCGGCGGCGCAGAACGGCUACGCGGACGUUGGGCGCGGAGGCGGGGAGCCAUUCAUCUGUAUGGAAACAAAAUCUUUCCUGUGGCUGAAGAGGAAGAACUCUCCAGGGCUCCUUACAUUCGGUCCUUGGCCAGCGGCUUGUGAAUCACACAGCCAAGGUUAGUAAGAGAAAAGGGAGGCUUUGAUUUGUAGAAGUAGGGGUCACAGAAGAAGACAAAAAGCAUCCUGGGCUUGGAGUCUGUACACCACGUGAAUAAGGGAAAGGGAGGUUUAAGAAAUGGGGGGUGAGAGUGGCUCAGCUGUUAAAGGCUAGUCUCAACCAAAAAUAUAAGAAAUGCAGGGGUUGAGGAUUUAGCUCAGUGGUAGAGCGCUUGCCUAGCAGGCACAAGGCCCUGGGUUCGGUCCCCAGCUCCGGAAAAAAAAAAAAAAAAAAAAAAAAAAGAAA